rnacentral:rRNA from 1 species
UGGGGAAUAUUGGACAAUGGGCGAAAGCCUGAUCCAGCCAUGCCGCGUGUGUGAAGAAGCUCUUCGGAUUGUAAAGCACUUUAAGUUGGGAGGAAGGGCAGUAAGCGAAUACCUUGCUGUUUUGACGUUACCGACAGAAUAAGCACCGGCUAACUCUGUGCCAGCAGCCGCGGUAAUACAGAGGGUGCAAGCGUUAAUCGGAAUUACUGGGCGUAAAGCGCGCGUAGGUGGUUCGUUAAGUUGGAUGUGAAAGCCCCGGGCUCAACCUGGGAACUGCAUCCAAAACUGGCGAGCUAGAGUAGGGCAGAGGGUGGUGGAAUUUCCUGUGUAGCGGUGAAAUGCGUAGAUAUAGGAAGGAACACCAGUGGCGAAGGCGACCACCUGGGCUCAUACUGACACUGAGGUGCGAAAGCGUGGGGAGCAAACAGG